CGUAGGUGGCAAGCGUUGUCCGGAUUUAUUGGGUUUAAAGGGUGCGUAGGCGGUUCCAUAAGUCAGUGGUGAAAUACGGCAGCUCAACUGUCGAGGUGCCAUUGAUACUGCGGAACUUGAGUACUGAUGAGGUAGGCGGAAUUGACGGUGUAGAGGUGAAAUGCUUAGAUAUCGUCAAGAACACCGAUAGCGAAGGCAGCUUACCAAGCAGUAACUGACGCUGAGGCACGAAAGUGCGGGGAUCAAACAGGAUUAGAUACCCUGGUAGUCCGCACAGUAAACGAUGAUUACUCGAUGUUAGCGAUACACAGCCAGCGUCUUAGCGAAAGCGAUAAGUAAUCCACCUGGGGAGUACGCCCGCAAGGGUG
rnacentral:rRNA from 1 species